UGAAUGGCCUUUUGAAGACACAGUUUCAGCACCAAUUAGGUGGCAGCAGCCUGGGUGACUGGGGCAGGGUUCUCUAGAAAGCAUUAUAUGCUUUCAAUCAGUGUUCAUUAUAAGGUACAGUUUUUCCCAUAGCCAGGAUCCAUAGGUCCAGGAAUCAAGGGGUGGAAAAGGCAGUAGUUCCAUUCACUGUCACCCCUAGUGACCCACUAAGAAAAAUUUUGCCUCCUUUCCUGUGACCUUAAGUUAUGCUGUCCUAGAAGUUUUGGUCCCAGAUCAGGAAGCAUUCCUGCCAGGAGCCACAGUAGACAUUCUAUUGAACUGGAACCUCAGACUUCCCCCUGGGCUUCUGAUGCCCUUAAGACAACAGGCUAAGAAAGGAAUAGCAGUGUUAGAAGGGGUGGUUGAUCCAGAUCACAAAGGGAAAAUUAGAUUGCUUCUUCACAACUGAGAUAAAAAAGAUUAUGUUUGGAGCACAAGAGGUCCUUUAGGGUUUCUCUUGGUUACUAUUAUGUUCUAUGAUUAAAGUUAAUGGGAAACUACAACAGCAUAAUCAAAGUAGGAUGACAAAGGGCACAGACCCUUCAGGAAUGAAGGUAUAGGUCAUUCUGAGAAAAGAGCCAAGACCUACCGAGGUACUUGCUUGAAGGUGGAGGAAAUACAGACUGGGAAGUAGAGGAAGAUACUUACAAAUACCAGCUAAGGCCAUGUGAUCAGUUGCACAAGGGCUUAUAAUUGGCAUGAGUGUUUGUGUCAUACUUUGUUAAGAAUGUGUUUGUACAUAUAUUUGUUUUCUUUCCUCAAUGUGUUUAUCAUGUAAUGUAACAUCAAUUAAGGGGAUAUCAGUGGUUAUAAUCAUUUGAGUUUGAGAGGCUAAGAGAAUGUCCCUCAAUGGACCCUGCCACCUAUUCUCAAACGUAUAUUUGCAGUUGCAUGAGGAAUAGUUAUAUCAUGUUAAGUGUAGUCAUGAACUGGCUAGAUAUAUAAGGCAGUUGUGAUUGUACAUGGGGUAGUUAUAUCAGGUAAGGUAUGAGUAUGACCUGGUUAUUGUUCUCAUUGGGAUUUAAGGAUGGCAUAAGGAGAUAUAGUUGUGUGUCAGGUUGAGAAGGAGGGGACUUGUGAUGACUAUUCUUGGUUGUCAACUUGACUUCACCUGAAAUUAACUAAAAUCCAAGCAGCUGGCCGCACCUGUGAGGAAUUUUUUUCUUUAAUCAUUUGAAGUAGGAAGACCCACUUUUAAUCUGGGUCACACUAUCUGGUGGCAGCAUAUAAAAAGGAUACUUGCUCAUUGCCUGCUUGCUCUCACUCUCGCUGGCAAGUCCAUUUCUUACCUGGCAUUAGAGCGUACAUCUUUGGGAUUCUGGUGUGUACUGAAGAGCAGCUGAGACAUCCAGCCUCGUGGACUGAACAACUGAUAGAUUCUUGGACCUCCCGUUGGUAGACAGCCGUUGUUAGACUAGCUGGACCGUAUUCAUUCUGUAUUCAUUGUAUUUCUCUAGAGAACUCUAAUACAGUCACUCCAUUCUUGUUUAGUCUGGUCUGUUACGGCCUGUGCGGCCAGAGCAGUGGGCCCCCAAUAAUUCUUAACACCCUGCAAUGGUUAAUACUGGUUGUCAACAGGGUCUAGAAUCCUCUAGGAGUCAAACCUUUGGAUGUACCUGUGAGGGAAUUAUUAGACUGGGUUAAGGUGGAAACACCAACCCUACAUGUGAGGCCCUGGAGUAGGUCCCAGGCUGAGUAAAAAGGAGAAAGCAAGCUGGGCACCAGCAUUCCUCUCCUUUGCUUCCUGACUAAAGACACUGUGUCGCCAGCUGCCUCGUGCUCCUGCCACCAUAUCAUCCGAGAGCACUGUACCCUGAAACUGUGAAGGCAGCACAAAUCUUCCUUCCUGUGUUACUGUCAAGAAUUGGUCUCAGCAUUAAGAAAAGUAACCAGUUUGGACUUGAAUUUGGCAACUUGGUAACAGAUUUGUCAACCGAAUCCUGGGAAUUCAGACUCACCAAACCUUUAAGUGCUUUAUUUCCUGGUACAGUACACUUACUGGUAAAGACAGAGGACAACAGUUAUCAGCACAAUUGCAGCAAUCAGCAAAGUGCUAGCGAUGCCGAUCAUAACCUUCGUCCUCAAGUCGAACAUCUUUCACACCUGGCAAAGAAGUUCAGAUGGCACAAGUGGCUUCACUCCCAAAGAGCCGCUUGGCCAUUCCCCUCCCCCAGCUUUCUUCAGGGAAAAAGAAAGGAUCCAACAUAUAGACUUAUGGAACUCUGCAGGGUGGCCCAAGCUGACCUCAGGUAUGUAUAAGCUUUUUGACCUCCGAACAACAAUCAUGAUCAUCAUUGGUGGUGGGAUCCUGGCAGCCAUGUUUCUACUGAUAGUAGUUGUGCUUUGUCUUUACUCCAAAAUAUCCAAGGCUCUGAAUUC